rnacentral:rRNA from 1 species
AUACGGAGGAUCCAAGCGUUAUCCGGAUUUAUUGGGUUUAAAGGGUGCGCAGGCGGAAGAUUAAGUCGGCGGUGAAAUUUUGCAGCUCAACUGUAAAAGUGCCAUCGAUACUGGUUUUCUUGAGUGUGGAUGAAGUAGGCGGAAUUUGUGGUGUAGCGGUGAAAUGCAUAGAUAUCACGAGGAACUCCGAUUGCGCAGGCAGCUUACUAGGCCAUAACUGACGCUCAGGCACGAAGGCGUGGGGAUCAAACAGGAUUAGAUACCCUGGUAGUCCACGCAGUAAACGAUGAUUACUCGCUGUUUGCGAUACACAGUAAGCGGCUUAGCGAAAGCGUUAAGUAAUCCACCUGGGGAGUACGUUCGCAAGAAUGAAACUUAAAGGAAUUGACGGGG